UAUGUAAACAAUAGCCGAAUGUCGUCAACCGGAGCACCCUUCCUCUCAAUAAACUGGAAGUGUUUGCUGUUCGGCCUAUAGAUCGGUUAGGGUCACCCAUAUUGUGCAAGUGUUUGUCAGGUGUGAAUUGCAUCAGUAUUGAAAAUAAAAACAUGAAAUACAUACCGAUAUAAAGACCAGCGUACUGAAUGUCGAGUUGAUAAUACUGCAAUGACCUGACUAGAUCAUAAAGGAACAAUUGUCCAGACAGAGGAUUGAGUUUACGAAUUGACGGUUUAUUAAACCAACUUUACACAGGCUACUGUUUGGCCGUAGCCCACGCCAAAUAAAUUAAAGAUAACCCACAAGCCAAUCGUGACCUUCUCUUGUGAAGCCCAGACGUAAGAGAGAGAACAAAGGCUAAACCUGGUCUUAACUUCCAAUGCUCCAUCCCCCUGCCCAACCCCCCUCCACGCCACUCCGCCAAACGCCAGGAUGCCCGGCAUCAGAACAUUCCAGGCUUUACUGUGAUGGGCAGAUAGCAGGUUGAUUGGCAUGUCGGACUCCGCGAACACUGGGUACUGAUUACCUCCGACAUAUGGACAAACUCAGCGGACAAACAGUGUUGUUCCCCAGCCCAGAGUUGAGGACGCUGUCCCUUCCCACUGACCUCCACUAGGUCUCCUCUGGUCCUGGCCUGCUCAGUGAUGUCAUUCCCCGGGCCCUUGGCUGCACCAGUCUGGGUCUGGGAAUCCAAGAUGGUCACCCAGUCUCCUCUGUUAGCUUCCAGCCAACCACCUGCAGGAAGAGGUUGCAAAAUAGACUUUACAAACAUGCCAGAGAGAACUCUACAUAUGUUUUUUUUGUCAAUUACCUGGUCAAGUUCACACAUUAUAAUGUGUGUUUUUGUAUGUAAACAUAAGCUGUAUUGAUAAAAACAUUUGAAUGAAGAAAAUUAAGAAAAAAAACAAUAGCCAGGUGCAUCAUUAUUCCCAUUGAAUAUCUAUUACUGUAUGUAAGCUACAUUUAUUUCUCCCUUACCUUGCUCCCCCAUCUUUAGUCCACUCAGCAGGUUAAUGCUCUCUGGUCCAUCUUCUAUGGUCUCCUCUUUGACCAGCAGCAGAUCAGGCUUCCCAUCCUCCAUGUCUACUGACUGUAAGAGAUACAGAGUGAGAGGAUGUUGGAUCAAGAAAUCUGAUAGGAGCAUCCUGCUGUGGAGCAUCUUCUGAUUGGACAAUGAAGGAUUGCUAUAAAUACUAUCCAAACAUGUUAGUUGAUUUGAUUAGUUGACACUAAUACUUGGAUGAUUCAAAGGCAUGAUACCACAGCUCUCCUCUGAGACUCUUUGUGGAUACAGGCCCUGACUUAAUACCAUUCAGACAGUAGUUUACAGUGAGCUCACCUCAGUGAGACUGUGUGUGGUCCUGUACUGCUCAGCUGGCUCCUCUGUGGGUUCAGGAGGAGGUGUAGUCCGGUUGUCCUCCAUGACCAUGGUCCCCUCGGGGUUCCCCAGACCCUCCUCACACCCCUCCUCCUUCACCAGCAGCACCUCUGGACCCUCCUCCUCCUGGAAUAGACAGGUGAUACAGAUUACACAGACAUACACUCCCUCAGGUACGUACACACAGAUAAUAAACAGACUUUCAACAUGGAGUGUUUACCCAUCCCCACUACAUUAGAGUCCUAUACUGUAGUUACAGAAUGACUUCAUUGUUAAACCCAUCAUGGUGGACAUAAAUAUAAUGCUGUGGGUUAAAAUAAGUCAGCUAUGUUAAGUCAAAAGACAUCAGACAAACCUUACAAAACUAUUUUUAUGUGUACAGUAGGUGUUUGUUAGUGUGUGGGAAUGUGUAGGUAUAUUUACUAAGUGUUUAUUGGCUAUAAAGUGCUGUUAGUGUAUGCAGCAUAGGGUGUGUUCAGUCGUUUACUAAAGGGAGUUUUAAUGAAAAGUCCCAUUUUGUGUUUAUUAAGCCUUUUACACGGCCUACAGCGCCUCCAGAAAGUA